GAGUUUGAUCAUGGCUCAGAAUGAACGCUAGCGGCAGGCUUAAUACAUGCAAGUCGAGGGGCAGCAUGUCUGUAGCAAUACAGAUGAUGGCGACCGGCAAACGGGUGCGGAACACGUACACAACCUUCCUUCGAGCGGGGAAUAGCCCAGAGAAAUUUGGAUUAAUACCCCAUAGUAAAUUGAAAAGGCAUCUUUUUGAUUUUAAAGAUUUAUCACUUGAAGAUGGGUGUGCGGCUGAUUAGGUAGUUGGCGGGGUAACGGCCCACCAAGCCUGCGAUCAGUAACUGGUGUGAGAGCACGACCAGUCACACGGGCACUGAGACACGGGCCCGACUCCUACGGGAGGCAGCAGUAAGGAAUAUUGGUCAAUGGACGCAAGUCUGAACCAGCCAUGCCGCGUGGAGGAUGAAGGUCCUCUGGAUUGUAAACUUCUUUUAUCUGGGACGAAAAAGACCUUUCUAGGUCGUCUGACGGUACCAGAUGAAUAAGCACCGGCUAACUCCGUGCCAGCA
rnacentral:rRNA from 1 species